rnacentral:rRNA from 1 species
GCGAACAGACGAGGAGCUUGCUCCUUUGACGUUAGCGGCGGACGGGUGAGUAACACGUAGGUAACCUACCUAUAAGACUGGGAUAACUUCGGGAAACCGGAGCUAAUACCGGAUAAUAUUUCGAACCGCAUGGUUCGAUAGUGAAAGAUGGCUUUGCUAUCACUUAUAGAUGGACCUGCGCCGUAUUAGCUAGUUGGUAAGGUAACGGCUUACCAAGGCAACGAUACGUAGCCGACCUGAGAGGGUGAUCGGCCACACUGGAACUGAGACACGGUCCAGACUCCUACGGGAGGCAGCAGUAGGGAAUCUUCCGCAAUGGGCGAAAGCCUGACGGAGCAACGCCGCGUGAGUGAUGAAGGUCUUCGGAUCGUAAAACUCUGUUAUUAGGGAAGAACAAACGUGUAAGUAACUGUGCACGUCUUGACGGUACCUAAUCAGAAAGCCACGGCUAACUACGUGCCAGCAGCCGCGGUAAUACGUAGGUGGCAAGCGUUAUCCGGAAUUAUUGGGCGUAAAGCGCGCGUAGGCGGUUUUUUAAGUCUGAUGUGAAAGCCCACGGCUCAACCGUGGAGGGUCAUUGGAAACUGGAAAACUUGAGUGCAGAAGAGGAAAGUGGAAUUCCAUGUGUAGCGGUGAAAUGCGCAGAGAUAUGGAGGAACACCAGUGGCGAAGGCGACUUUCUGGUCUGUAACUGACGCUGAUGUGCGAAAGCGUGGGGAUCAAACAGGAUUAGAUACCCUGGUAGUCCACGCCGUAAACGAUG